ACCAUCUUGUCUCCUUACCCAACAGAUCUAAAUGCUGGUCUGAAUGGUUAUAAAAUGAGGAAAAAUUAAUUUGAAGCUGGUUUCACUUCCUUCGUGGCACAUGAGUUAAUGUCGGACAAAA
rnacentral:snoRNA from 1 species